AUACUUUUCUUGGCAUCUUGGCUAAGAUCAAAUGUAGUAUCUGUUCUUAUAAGUUUAGUAUCUGAUAUACAUGGGUUUAAUUUAAUUUCUUGGCCAAAAAAUGUAGCUUGCUGCAUGGGUCCUCGUUUGUUGUCCAAGCGUUGCACUAUUGUUUGGAACAGACACACCAA
rfam:Triticum aestivum genome assembly, contig: Triticum_aestivum_CS42_TGACv1_scaffold_602555_7DL